GUGAAUACUUAACUAAAUAGGCAAACAGCUCCCAUUAAUGGCUAAGAUUGUAUAUCUUCCUACCCUUUAAAAUGGGGUCUUUGAGCCAGAUUUAAUUUAAUUUAGAAAAAUUAAGUACUGCUUAUUGGACUUCAAUGUUGUGAAACAAAUCUAUGCUUUUUAUGUAUAUUAUCCCACUUAAACUUUACCAUGCUUUGAAGUAGGUUUCUUUACCCUCUUUUAUAGAAGGGCACGAUCUGAAGGACAGAGAAGGUAAUAUAUAUUCAGAGUGCUAGAACAGAAGAGGGAGCCAGGGAUGGAGAGCCCCCUUACCCUGUGAGGGAUUCUUUGGAUGUAAAUGAUGGCAAGUACAAUUCAACUGACUUUAAAAACAGGAUCUGUUGCCUCAGGCACCUGAAAAAGUUCUGGGAGUAAGGCUGCCCUCAGGCAGGAGGAUUCAUACUGGGGCUCAGCUGAUGUCAUCAAGUUUCAGUUUCCAUCCAUUUCUCUGCUCUAGGUUCUGGACUGGCUACCUUGUAAGUCUGUCUGGCAAGUUCAUAGCUACAUCUUCCAAACUAAAAGCGCAGCUAAAAAUGGGUGGUUUCUCCCACUAGUCCCUUCAAAAGUCCCACUGUGCCUUAUUGUCUCCAGUUGGGUCACAUGCCCACCCCUGACCAAUCACUGUUGCCAAAAGCAUGGACCAAUCUUUUUGGCCAAGCCUGAGUUCAAUGUCCUCCUUUAAAGUAAGAGCGUUAGUGAUAAACAACUCCACUUGACAUGGACUGAAACUGACAACGGGGUUAGAUCCCCAGAGGGCAAAAGAAGGACUAUUUUUGGAAGGUGAGUGAAUGCUGAGUGUCAAAAUAAAAACAAAAACAAAACGGAUGUCUACUUCAGCCCUCUCUCUCACCACCCCAUUUCUGCCUUCUUGUCCAGAGUCAUGCCAUGCACUGAAGGUUAGAGUUAGAGGAAAUGCCAAUUCUGUGGAGGACAGGAAAGGAACUCAAAGUGGAAGGAAUCAAUCAGAGGCCCCAACAUCCAUGUGGAUAGACCAUCCAAUGAUCUGACCUCUCACUGUCUGCUCCUUCUCAUCUUAGAGUCCUUUACCUUCAUUCCAGUUCAGUUAUGGCCAUAGCCUAGAACUUAUCUCCAGCAACACUUGUGUGUUCUGAAAAAAUACAGUCUGACAUUCCACCCUUUAUCCUCUCAGCUUAUGCCCUCAGCAUGCUAAUUCCUCAACCUAUUCAGGAACUACAAGCCGCUCUAUACUUUCCCCUGCUCACCUGACCACCUUUGUCUUCAUUUCCUCCCUCUCCAAGGAAAACUUCAUGGGGCAUCACUUAAUGCUAAACCUAAAUAUACUGCUCUGCUCUAAACAGCCUACCCCCUUCUUUCAUUCGUCCUGUCUAGCAAAAUCCAACUCUGCCUGUUUUAGCACUGCCUUCAAAUAAGGGCCCUGCUUCCUCUUGGAUAAAAUCACACAAGUGUCUUUGUGCCCCAUAAACUUCUGUUCUACAUCUGUUGCUCAGCUCCACCACUGCCUCAGAAUCCAGUCAUUCCUCCUGUGUUACCAUGUGCCAGACGCUCUUCCAAGCACUUGGGACACCCAGUGGAGGCAACAAACAGAGGCCCUGUCUCGGGGGAGCUUCUGUGAUUGUUUUCUCAGUCAACUCUCUUGCCCAAGUUCUCAAAACAAUUCCACUUUCCUACACCUUGUCCACACUCCUCGCUCACUGAGCAUAUGUGCUGGACCACCAGAGGGAAACAGAGAAGUCAUCAGAUGGGAACUUUUCUGCAUAAAAACUUCAAAACAAAACAAAACCAAAACCAAAAUGAGACCCUCCAUCUCUUCUCUCCUCCUUCCUUCCCACCAUACUGAAAGGUUUCCCUCAAUGCUUUCCUUAAUCCUCCCAACCUGGGAUCUGCCCACCCUUUCCAAGUCGCAACACUUUCACAUGUGUGGGCUAUCUGCCUUAAUUAUCUACUUUUCCAGAGGACCAAGACUACAUUUACCUCAUCACAGCUGGAAACACCAAGCAGAGCUCAGAGUCCUCUGGAGGAAUACAUUGGCACUGGGAGGGAUCUACGGGGAGGUCCUGCCCAGCAUGCUCUGGGGCGGGGCCACGUCCGGGGGCAGGGCCUGAGAGACUCUGAGAGCCUGUUUGGCUUCUUGAGGGCGACGGCACCAGCAACGUGGCCAGACAUCUCACCUCAGGCUUCUGGAAGAUAUGAGUUGAGAUUUAACUCAAAGACAGGUUCUGAGGAAGGUUUCUGGAUGCCUGAGUGACCUUCCCCACUUCCCAGCCGGAAGGAUCCUUUCCUCCAUCUGAUAUUUCCAUUACGGUAUGCAGGCCCUCACAGCCCCUGGGCCCCCAAACUCUCACUCCAGGCCCAGCCUUAGAAGGCGCUCAGAGGCCUGGGGGCAGGGCUGCGCCUACCCAACACCACCCCCUUUGACGAUGGCACUCUGAGGAACUCCACCAAGAAUGAAUUUAUUUAGCACCUAACAUGUGCCAGACACUAUGCCAGGCUCUGGGAUACAAUGUGAUUUAAUGUGAAGAAUGCUUUGGAUGGGGUAAACAGGAUGUGAGAGACCAGUGAGAAGGCCACUGCAGUAAUCUACGAGAGAAAUGAUGUCAGCAUGGACCACAAUGGUGGUGGCCAAAGUGGAGUAACGUGGACGGAUCUGCAGAAGUCAUUUUCAGUUACUCUCUGACUCAAGUAAACACCGCUCCCUGUCACCUUAUCCCUUUGAGGGUUGGUUCACUUCUAACUUUUCACUGGGACAUGAUUCUCACCGACAGCAGAAAGUUCGGCACCCAGACCUGCAGAUGUGAAGACACUUGCUCCUCUCUCGAACUAUCAGUACUUCUGGGAAACACGUCCCAGUGCCAAACUGUCCUGGUCCUGAAAUGACCCCGUUAUUCGGGGAGGUAGUAAAGGAAAUUACAUGUUUUAAACCCCGAGUGGCACUCUCUUUGGACAUCGAAAGGUGUAAAUGAUAAAAAUACCUUGCUAGACUUAAAGACCAGGGAGUAAACGGGGGGCUGGAUGCUGCCCAGACUCUGUGUGUCAGCAAAACAUAUCUGAGCUCAGCGAAGUAACCCAGGACCAAGUGUUCUCCUCAGUGGAAUAAUUAGACAACAGAGGUGGGCAAUUUAGAAAAGAUCACUUCUUCUGUCCCUGCUUUAGAAUCUCUAAUACAAACAAAACCCAAUCCUUAGCAAGAUUUAAGAGCACGGGACAAAGACUGCUAGAUGUUGAACUGCUGGGAGUGGAGCCCACGUUUUAUUUAUCUUUGUAUCCAAACACAUCCGCGGUGCCUGCCACGGGGCAGAUACUCAGUGAAUGUUGGGUGGAUCAAGGAUUCCUCUGUGUUUUCAUGGGGUAUUUAUAUGGUAUGGGAAUUCAGUCAUCUUUUGCCCCACUAGGUACUGAUGGAUGCUUUCUGUUCUCCAUGUUUACUUUGAACACCAUU
ensembl:lncRNA